CUACGGGUGGCUGCAGUGAGGAAUAUUGCACAAUGGGGGGAACCCUGAUGCAGCAACGCCGCGUGGAGGAUGACGCAUUUCGGUGUGUAAACUCCUUUUAUAUGUCAAGAAAAUGACGGUAGCAUAUGAAUAAGCACCGGCUAACUCCGUGCCAGCAGCCGCGGUAAUACGGAGGGUGCAAGCGUUACUCGGAAUCACUGGGAGUAAAGGACGCGUAGGCGGGUUGGUGAGUCAGGUGUGAAAUCCUACAGCUUAACUGUAGAACUGCACUUGAAACUUCUAAUCUAGAGUAUGGGAGGGGGAGAUGGAAUUAGUGGUGUAGGGGUAAAAUCCGUAGAUAUCACUAGGAAUACCUAAAGCGAAGGCGAUCUCCUGGAACAUUACUGACGCUAAGGCGUGAAAGCGUGGGGAGCAAACAGGAUUAGAUACCCUCGUAGUC
rnacentral:rRNA from 1 species